AUCGUAAGAUGUGAGGAAGGUGGGGAGUGACGUCAAAUCAGCACGGCCCUUACGUCCGGGGCGGACACACGUGUUACAAUGGGUGGUACAAAGGGCAGCUACCUGGCGACAGGAUGCUAAUCUCGAAAACCGACUCUCAGUUCGGAUCGGAGUCUGCAACUCGACUCCGUGAAGCUGGAUUCGCUAGUAAUCGCGCAUCAGCCACGGCGCGGUGAAUACGUUCCCGGGCCUU
rnacentral:rRNA from 1 species